AAUCUAUGUUGAGGGCAGUGUUGAAUCAAAUCUUUAUACCUUUUUCAUACUUCAUUAAGUGAUUCGAAAUCAUUUUAUUUGAAUUGACCAAUCUCACUCUUGAGUUG